rnacentral:tRNA from 1 species
UCCCCCGUAGUGUAGCCGGCCAACACGCGGACCGCACCGGUCCGAACCUCGAGUUCGAGCCUCGACGGGGGCC